UUAAAAAGCUCGUAGUUGAACCUUGGGCCUAGCCGGCCGGUCCGCCUCACCGCGUGCACUGGCUCGGCUGGGUCUUUCCUUCUGGAGAACCGCAUGCCCUUCACUGGGUGUGCCGGGGAACCAGGACUUUUACUCUGAAUAAAUUAGAUCGCUUAAAGAAGGCCUAUGCUCGAAUACAUUAGCAUGGAAUAAUAGAAUAGGACGUGUGGUUCUAUUUUGUUGGUUUCUAGGACCGCCGUAAUGAUUAAUAGGGACAGUCGGGGG
rnacentral:rRNA from 1 species